rnacentral:lncRNA from 1 species
CAUUGCAUCUGUAUUUAUAGUGACUAUAUGCUUGCUUGGCACGACCUGAUCCUCGAGUACAAUUUGACUUCAAUCCCAACUAGACAAGCGAGAGCUUAUCAUUUAGAAAAUAACAAAAAAAAUAGACAACCUGACUUUGCUUCAGUAUUAUCACCAUUAUCCAAAAUACCUAUUUUUCCUUUCUUAUCUUUUGGAUGCAUUCCACAUGGUCAUUUCCCUAUAUCAUGAUAGGCUAUAACCUAUCACCUACUUAAUUAUCUUAAAAAUUUGUUUGACCAAAUAGGAAAAUAAAAGAAUAUUCUUUCAUUAUCCCUUCAAGGCCCAUCUGAUCAUGCCAUCCCAUUCUUCAAGACUUAUUUGAUCACGCCAAGUGCUGAUCUCUGUAUGUUCUGUCAGCAAACCCCAAUUAAUUCGAACUAUGUUAUUGCUUCUAAAUUGGAGAUAAUUUGAAACUCAUUUAUCCCGUAUUAGAAAAUGUCAAAAUAAUUCACCAUUAAAAGAUAACAUCAUGAUUAAAACCACAAUACAUCCUUCAAUAAUAAUUAUCUUAACUACUUUGUCAUCCAACGGUUGAGAGCUAUGUUCAUCAACGGCCUCGAUCGCUUGGGCUGAUGGUGUAAAAUCGGGUCCAAACAUUGCCCCCCA